UAAAAAUAAAAUAAAAAAUAUUUAAAUAACUUAAAUUAGUAAGCAAUUCAAAACAAGUUGCAACAAUAAAAAAUAUUGCCAAUAGUUGAAGUGCACAAGUACUAAUAGUGAAAACAACAAGACCACGAACUAGUUGACCUUCUCGUAAGAAACGCUGCACCAAGUCAAAGUGUUAGACGCCAAACACCAACGGCAGUAACACUCAGAAAAGUGGCAAUGCAAAUAAAUGCAAACCGGCCAAGCCGAUUCUUACACAUGCAUCCGUACAUACAUGAAUAUGCGAGCUUAAGAGCGCUAAAACGACAGUUUAGUAAAGUAUCUAAUUGCAUUUUUGAAAUGAGUAACACUCAUGACUACGGAAACAACAAAGAGACGUCGAAAACAACAAAAACCGCAAUACUCGUAAACAUGAUGACUUUUUACUGAUGGAUUUGGUUUUGAUGCCAAAGCAUUAAUGCGAAAAUGUAAUGCAUAUUAAGGUGGUGCAAACAAGUGUGUACUUACGCCAGGGCUUCCUCAAUUGUCGAAACACUUCUCAAACUCGAUUUUCAGGAUGACCCUUGACGCUUUGAGCAAUUGUUUCAAAUCUUGUAAAACGACGACCCAUUCAAUAUUCUUUUGGUUUUUGGAAAAAGGAAAAGGUAAACAUAAAAUUUUGGCAAUUGCAAAUUAUAA